rnacentral:rRNA from 1 species
UGGGGAAUCUUGCACAAUGGGGGAAACCCUGAUGCAGCGACGCCGCGUGAACGAUGAAGCCCUUCGGGGUGUAAAGUUCUUUCGACAGGAACGAUAAUGACGGUACCUGGAGAAGAAGCUGCGGCUAACUACGUGCCAGCAGCCGCGGUAAUACGUAGGCAGCGAGCGUCGUUCGGAGUUACUGGGCGUAAAGAGUGCGUAGGCGGCGAGCCAAGUUUGGUGUGAAAUCUCCCGGCUUAACCGGGAGGGUGCGCCGAAAACUGGUUGGCUGGAGUAUGGGAGAGGAAAGCGGAAUUCCUGGUGUAGCGGUGAAAUGCGUAGAUAUCAGGAGGAACACCUGCGGUGUAGACAGCUUUCUGAACCAAAACUGACGCUGAGGCACGAAAGCGUGGGUAGCAAACA